rnacentral:tRNA from 1 species
GGAGGAAUGGCAGAGCGGUUUAAUGCACCGGUCUUGAAAACCGACGUACGGAAACGUACCGGGGGUUCGAAUCCCUCUUCCUCCG